UUCCUACGGGGGGCAGCAGUGGGGGAUAUUGCACAAUGGAGGAAACUCUGAUGCAGCGACGCCGCGUGAGGGAAGACGGUCUUCGGAUUGUAAACCUCUGUCUUUGGGGAAGAAAAUGACGGUACCCAAAGAGGAAGCUCCGGCUAACUACGUGCCAGCAGCCGCGGUAAUACGUAGGGAGCGAGCGUUAUCCGGAAUUAUUGGGUGUAAAGGGUGCGUAGACGGGAAAACAAGUUAGUUGUGAAAUCCCUCGGCUUAACUGAGGAACUGCAACUAAAACUAUUUUUCUUGAGUGCAGGAGAGGU
rnacentral:rRNA from 1 species